rnacentral:lncRNA from 1 species
AGAAAGCAUUUGCAUUCUUUCUCCGGAACAUUAAUAUUGCCUCUACUAUCCUUCAGUCCUGAUCAUUACUUUACUCUUCAGCUAACGUUUCUGAGUGCUGAAAUUUGAUCUUUAAAGUCGCCAGGUUGGUGGAAUCCGAUCAACUCAAACACCAUAUUGAGGUAAGCUUUGCGAUGGUUGCUACUGAUUGCAUGCAUGCAUGUUAUACAGAGGUAUUGCGAGCCCUAAAUUUUUAGCUAAAAUCUAAGUCCAAGUUAGUCUAAAUCUAACCUAAAUUAAUCUAGAUACAUAAAAAAAUAAUUGUAAGAGAAUUGUUUCUCACUUUUAUUUCUUGUGGCUGUCGUGAUCUCCCAUCAAACUAAAGAUUUUAAUUUUUGAUCUUGAGUUUUUAAGUUCAAAAAAGAUGGAAAUAACAAGUAAAUGGUUCUCUCUCAUGUUAUUUUCAAUUAUGGUUUGUUUAUGGAAGGAUUAAAAAAGAUAUUAGGGUUUAUAAGAAUUUGAAAUUUAUGUUAUUAAGAUUGAUUUAUAAUUAUUAGGAAUUUAAUAUUAAGUGAUUGAUUUUGAGUAUGUUGUUAGAAAUAAAGAUUUGUGAAUUAAUUUGUUUAAAUAGAUUUUUAUGGGUUAAGAAGUUUAUUUUGGAAAAUCUGGACAGAAUGGUCUUGAGGUUGAAAAUGAUAAAAUUUUAUUUUUGUCUUUGAUUUAUGAAAAUUAUAGUUAGUCCUUGAACUUUGGAAAAUUAUAAUUUAACCCCUGAUAUGUCUUUUGGAAUUCUGGGCAGUAUUAUUAUGAGGUCAAGGAUGAUGAAUCUCAGUUUGAUAAUUGAUUUGGAAUAUUUUCAGUUUCGUCCCUCAAUUUUGGGAAUUUACAUUUUAGUCCCUGAACUUUAAAAGAAUUACAAUUUGGUCCAUGUUUCGUUCUGGGCAGAAUUGAGGAUGGUUUAUGGAUGGAAUUUCAGUAUGGUUAUGUAUUUACAGUUUGGUCCUCCAAUUUUUGUAAAAUCACAUUUUGGUCCCUAUUUUGGAAAAUUGUCGUUUUAGUCCCUAAACUUAAGCGACUAAAUCUGGUUUUAUUUUAUGCAUUGGGAUCUUUUAUUUGUGUUGGUUUUUUAGUUUAUUUUGUAUAUUUGUUGUAGGUUCUCCUAACUAUUCUCAAUAAGAUUUUCGGAUCUUUCAUAUUAUUUUCCUUUUAAUCUAUUUUUUUUCGGGUGAGUAUGAUAAUCUUUAAUAUGCAUAUUAGGGGUGAGCAAAAAAACCAAGAAACCGAAUAAACGGAGAAAACCGAGAAAAAAAUAACCGAAAAAACCGAACCGAAAAAAAAAACCGAUUAAUUUUUUUGCAAAAAGUUUCGGUUCGGUUCGGUUCCGGUUCCAGAAACCUGAAACCGAAAAAACCCCAACCGAACCGAACCGGUUCGGUUUAAGGGGUACUAUAAAUACAAAAAAAAAUCGCGUUAUUUUUCUUAACCCUAGCAUCCAUACUCCUGCUCCAGCCGUCCUUCUCCUUGCUCCUGACUCCUGAGCCGCUCCCUCAACUCACAAUUCACAAUUUCACAUCUGUGACAAAAUCAAUCCAUCUUCUGAUCUUCAUCUACUGGACCACAGCCAACCACAUCUCUUUCCCAGCAUAUUCAUCUUCAAAGUUCAAACGCCAGUCAGCCACAUCCCUCUCCCACCGGCCACCAUCUUCAUCUUCAAACCCCAGUAAGUCACAUCCCUCUCUCACACGGUCACACCCGAUCUUGAAUCGCAGGACACACACCACACCGGCUACAAGCCUGAAAGAUGGCUCAAUGAGGAUGGCGUGCUUCAGCAAGAAAGC